rnacentral:rRNA from 1 species
CUUGGUCAUUUAGAGGAAGUAAAAGUCGUAACAAGGUUUCCGUAGGUGAACCUGCGGAAGGAUCAUUAUCAUACAACUGAGGUGCAAAGGCUGUCGCUGACUUUUCGUCGUGCACGCCCGAGUGCUCUCAAACAUAUCCAUCUCACCCCUGUGCACCACCGCGUGGGUUCCCUUUUGGCUCGUUCCGAGGGGGGGCUCGCGUUUUCACACAAACUUGAUACGGUAUAGAAUGUCUUUGUUUGCGAUCACACGCAAUUAAUACAACUUUCAACAACGGAUCUCUUGGCUCUCGCAUCGAUGAAGAACGCAGCGAAGUGCGAUACGUAAUGUGAAUUGCAGAAUUCAGUGAAUCAUCGAAUCUCUGAACGCACCUUGCGCCCCUUGGUAUUCCGAGGGGCACACCCGUUUGAGUGUCGUGAAAAUCUCAACCUCCUCGGUUUCUUCUGGACGCCGAAGGAGGCUUGGACUUUGGAGGCCUUUGCUGGCGUCUCUCGCCAGCUCCUCUCAAAUGAAUUAGCGGGGUCCUCUUUGCCGAUCCUCGACGUGUGAUAAGAUGUUUCCAUGUCUUGGUUUCUGGCUCUGUCGCCUUUGGGACCCGCUUCUAACCGUCUCAAGUCGAGACAACGUUUGAGCGUGUCCCCCUUCUCGGGAAACACCCUCGAGCCCACGAACCCUUGACCUCAAAUCGGGUGAGACUACCCGCUGAACUUAAGCAUAUCAAUAAGCGGAGGA